GCACAAAGCGGUACCCGGAAGUGCCGGGAUCGUGCUGACAUGCCGGCGGCCGUGGGAAGGGGGGUAAGAUGCGGGCACCAACACAUGAAAAAUAACAAGCUGCCAACAGGAAGAAAGAAACCAAUGAAAAGAAACAUUUCUCCUCCAGUUUAAAAGUUCUCCUAUCUGGGAAAGACAGAAGCCUGGAAAGCUUUGUGAUCCUGGCACGGCAGACUUCAUGGAGCAGGCACGGCCAAGUUACAGACAUUUAAAGGCAUUUUAAAUGGAAAAAAGAUAA